rnacentral:siRNA from 1 species
GUGCUUGGGCGAGAGUAGUACUA